rnacentral:ncRNA from 1 species
UAAAAGUUUGAUUCUGGUUUAGAUUGGAAUUCAUUUAUUGAUAAUUGUACAUGCAAGUAUUUGCUUGAUAUUUUACGAUCUUGAUGGUCAUUUAUAUUAUUUGCAGUUCUUAAUUUUAAGAUUUAAGGAAUUUUAGAUUUAGUUAAUCAAUAAAAUUCUGACGAAGGUUGUGCCAGCAUUCGCGGUUAUACAUCCGGGGUUAAUGAAUUGAAUUUAGUUAUAAUUUAAUUUUGAUUUAAUUUUAUUUAACAGUGAAUUUUUAGGUGAAAUUAGGAAUUUAUGUAAUUUAUUUUUUAUGAUUAAAUUAGAAAAUUCAAAUAUAAAACUAGGAUUAGAUACCCUAUUAUUUGGAAUUGUUAAUAUUUAUUACUAUAGUAUUAAUAGAUAUGUUCUUUAAAUUAAAAGAAUUUGGCGGUAAUUUAGUCUUUCUAGAGGAACCUGCCCUGUAAUUGAUAUCCCACGAUGAAUUUUACUUUAUUUAUUACUUAUAUAUCUCUGUCAUGAAUGUCUUAUUAGGGUAUUUUCUUUAAUUUUUAUUGGAUUUAAUGUCAGGUCAAGGUGUAGUUAUAAUAAAGAAGUGGUGGGUUACAAUAAUUUUAUUUUUGGAUAAAAUUAUGGAAAUAUUUUUGAAAUUGGAUUUAGAAGUAAAAGUUAUUAGAAUAUAACUUUGACAUAUUGCUCUGAAUUAUGCACACAUCGCCCGUCGCUCUCAUCGAUAAUCUAAAGAUGAGAUAAGUCGUAACAAAGUAGGCCUACCGGAAGGUGGGCCUGGUUAGU